rnacentral:rRNA from 1 species
UACGGAGGGUGCAAGCGUUAUCCGGAUUCACUGGGUUUAAAGGGUGCGUAGGAGGGCAGGUAAGUCAGUGGUGAAAUCCCCGAGCUUAACUUGGGAACUGCCGUUGAUACUAUCUAUCUUGAAUAUUGUGGAGGUGAGCGGAAUAUGUCAUGUAGCGGUGAAAUGCUUAGAUAUGACAUAGAACACCAAUUGCGAAGGCAGCUCGCUACACAUAUAUUGACUCUGAGGCACGAAAGCGUGGGGAUCAAACAGG